CUGCCGUCCAGGCCCCGGGCUCCGGCAGAGCCUGGCUGGCCUUCGGCGCCCAGCGGACCUGCACCCCUGGGGCCUUGACUUGCACUGAGACCUCAGCUCAUCUUACAUCUUGAGCCUGCUCGGUUUUGGAAUGGAGCUACACCAUUGGCUGUCUAGGUCUCCAGCUUGGCAACUUGCACUGCAGCCUCCAUCAUCAAUUCCAGCCCCAUCCUUGCUGUUCAGUACCCACUCCUGCUACGUUAAUCCACGAGGACUCCGGAAAGCAGCUCUGAAAUUUGGAAUUCCAACAAUGCCUGCAUUUGCUCAUUUGGAGGCAUUUCAAGCAGCUAUUUUUAUUCUUUGUUCACAUCACCAGGUUUCAAGAAAGCACCCGCGACACUGUGCCAUUAAAUGUUGAGUCAGGACAGGAGAUCUGCAAGGCAAAAACGAAUUCCCCUUCUGGUUCCACCCGCUGUGCACUCACAGCUUCUGGACCCUUCCUGACCAACACGUCUCAGUGUUCACAAGAGAAUCUGACACAUGGGAUUGACAUUAUGUGGAAAAACUCUUUUCCCUUUUUUUGAAAACUUAGGAGAGCUAGAGGGCUUUGGGACUUGACCAGCUCCCAGUAAAGUAAUAAUAGUAAUGAAUAAUCUUUGGCAGUGGCUCAUGCCUGUAAUCCCAACACUUUGGGAAGCCAGAACAAGAGGAUUGCUUGA